rnacentral:piRNA from 1 species
UGGCUGUAGCAAGAUGCUCUAAUCCC